rnacentral:rRNA from 1 species
UGGGAACGUGCCCUUUGGUUCGGGACAACUCCGGGAAACUGGAGCUAAUACCGGAUACGCCCUUCGGGGAAAGGUUUAUUGCCAAAGGAUCGGCCCGCGUCUGAUUAGCUAGUUGGUAGGGUAAUGGCCUACCAAGGCGACGAUCAGUAGCUGGUCUGAGAGGAUGAUCAGCCACACUGGGACUGAGACACGGCCCAGACUCCUACGGGAGGCAG